CUUGCUGCCGUUGCCGCUUAGUUUUGUGCAUCGAUCGGGAAAAAAUUUUUUCCUCCUUCGUGGGACUUGCUGUACGUUGCAGAUAAUGCGCGAGUAAGUGAGCUGUUGCAUACUUCUUUAUGGCACUCGAUGUAGCGUUUACCUCUACUCUUCGACUACUGUACGGGUUC
rnacentral:lncRNA from 1 species